CUUAAGAGGGAUUUUAUUUUAUACAGAAAUAGUUUGACUUUCAUUUGAAUACUAACGAAUCAAACUUAAUAAAAUUUAUUCUAUGCGUUCUAGGAAUAUGGUCGACUGUGGUUUUCCAGAUUUCCGUUAAAAUAUUCAGUGUCAAAGUUACACGGUCUCAACAAUUUACAGACAAAUUUUUAAACCCGUGUAAUUUUAAAUUUAUUUUUACGGACAACUGUAAACCACAGAUAUAGAUAUCAGUUUUUAGAACCAGUCUACAAAAUUACAUCGAGUUUGAUUGGUGAAUAUUUGGUGGUUGAAUAUUUAUUUGAAAAUCAAGCUACGUCUUGCGAGUGACGGAGAGUGCCCCCUCAUAAGUAAUGGAUAUUCCAUUCCAUUCAUGUGAUAAAGUCGAUAGUUAUUCGUCUAUGGCAGCCGAAGAAAAAAUUUAGCGACACAGAAAUCGUGAAAUCAUGUUUCAAUUAAAAAGAAAUGACCUAUUUAAAAUAGACGAAUUUGGUAAGGCACAAAAUAAAUAUACGAAACAGUUUUUGCGUAAUAAUUUUUAUGUUUCAGACCAGACCUGAGUUUAUUUAGAUUUUUCUCAUUUCCAAACUAAGAUUUUUUAGAUUUUUUAGACUUUGCUCAGACCUAAGCUUCAGUUAAAACGAGACGGUUUUAUGUCAGCAGUAUAGCGCUAUCUCGUUUUAACGGUGUCUUAAGUCUAAGCUAAGUCAAAGUGCGCUCUUUAGAUCUAAACCUUACUCUGCCACGAAUCAAACUCGGGCUUCACACUUGAGGCCACAACGCACAUCGUUGCACCAAAACUUUUUAAUUUAUAAUACGCAAAAAUUAUUGCCAUAUACGUAUAUUUAUUUUGUACCAUUUUCGCAUAAUACUUUAGAAAAUUACCCUUAAAAUUAUCAAGGAACCAAACAAACUUUUGUGUCAUGACGCGACAGAAAGGAUUUGAGACAUACAUUGUGUAUCGUGCACACUAAUCUGUCGUUGCGUUCUACCACGUUGACUCUCCAGGCGCGCUUUAAUUGGUCAAGCCAGAUUCCGUUGCGUCACAACGCAGUGGUUUGUUAUUAACUUUGACAGCUACAAUACAAUGCGAUAAUUGCAAUAAUCACUUCCGGUCGAAACUAUUUAGCUUUUGGAUAAAAUACGAUUAAAGCAGACUACCGCAUAUCAAACCAACAGCUAUAGCGACGAUAGCUUUACUAUAACAAUCAGUUUAGUCAUCAUUCGGUGCUAGGGACGCAGGUUAUUAACAACAGAAAUAUUUAUUUCUUUAUACCUUACACUUAAAAUAUUUUAAAACUAGUUGCAAAAACUAAACUACAAUUUCUGUGUCAAUGUAAUCAUACGACAAAAAUAUUUUGUGUGUUUUUAUAACGAUAAAAUAUUAGGAACUAUUCUUUAUAAUAAAUUCAAUAUUAGAAGCGACCUAAGCGAAGUGUAGACGUAUAUAGUUAGGUAUAUUAAAUUUUAUGUCCUACAGUUACCAAAUAGUAGAAAUUUUACGUGGCGCACGUGUGGCAGCACUGACGAUUGUCUACGCAAUGGUAGAAUCAUUUUAUUAUUACUAACCAGGUUCAAAAGGUCUAGAACCCAGAGUCGUAAAACCAGUUAAAUACCAAUUUAAAAAAAAAACUCGAUCUUAUAAAUAUCGGUUUAAUGUUUAUGUUAAGAAUAGCUUUUUUUUAUUAUUAUUAAAAUAAUAAUAUUAAGCAUUUGAAAGCUUUUCUAAGUUUGGUUGAAUAUAUAUAGUUAGGUUUGGUUAAAGAACAUUGUUCUUUUAUUUAAAAAUAAUUUCAUCCAUCUAUAGAAAUUAUUAAAAUGGCCACACCCGCGCCACAUAAACGAUUAUUUAAAAAAAAAAAGCGUAAUUACAAACUAGAAAAAUUAAAAAUAAGAAAACACACCCUAAAUAACUCUUUUUUAUAUUUAAUGCAAUAUACAGAUUAAAAAUUGCCUUUUGCGAAAUUCAAAUUAUCCAAAUCAAAUCGAAAAAAAACUGAAUCAACUCUUUUCCUCCACUGUUUGCCCGCAAAGAUAUCAUAAACGUUUUAUUCGCUAAUUAAUUUAUAAUAUGAAAAUAAGUUUUAUUUAGCUACAUUAGGUACAUUAUUUAAUAAUUAUAUUGUAACUUAUUAUUACUAAGAUAUAUUUUUGUCAACAUUAAUUAAAUUUUACAUAAAACAUUAGCUUAACUUUAGCAAAGACUAAACUUCAUGCCAUUUUUUUAUACAGUGAAAAGCGUUAAUUACAAUAGGUAGUUACUCCUAAAUUAAAUUUUGACACUAAAUCUGUCUAAAUUUAGUUUAAAAAAAAAUUGAAAUUGCGUUAAAUGACAGUAUUUUGGAAAAAAUCUAUAUUACAAUUUCACUAAAAAAAAACUAUAAACUGACUAUUUAUUAUUUUACUAUCACUGAAUUUUAGAGCUUUAAUUAAAAGCUUAUUUUUUUAAUUUAGUUACCUAUACUCUUAGUACGAGUUAACAUCUCUGAGACUUUGAUGGUUUUCGUUUUCGACAAAGUUUAUUGAGAAAUUCUUUUCAAAACUUAACUCGUUCUAGGGGUAAUCUACGUUUACGAUAUUUUUGGCGGGAAUAAGUCAUGUUUGAUGAUUCAACAUUUUUUCAUAUUUAGGUAUCUUGCAGUAUGAUGUAAUUAUGCAGAGUAUGAUAUAAUUCAAAUGGCAAUCGUCAUUGAAGGUGACAGCAACUGUCAAAUAUGAUGCUUGAUUAACUUGUAAUCAUGUUAUUAUACAUUUUUAAUUAUAUUUGAAAAUAUUAAAUUCUACUUUUUUUUUGGAUUUCAUUCGAAUAAUUUUAUUUUUCACCGCACCCAUAAUUCCUAAAUCUCGUACACGAUACAGUUAAACGAUCGUAUUGAGCAAGUUAGUGUUAUUAUUUAUAACGUAAAAGAGAAAAAGAAAAUAAAGAUUACAUAUCUAUAUUUAGUAUAUCAUGAACAAUUAUAUAUUUUUAUUUAUUUAUUCAUUUUAUUAUAUCUAUGGUAUACAGUAGUAUUUUACACAUAUCACCAGUCCAUAAAAGCAAAAAAAAAAAUAGGUAUCUAUGGUUUUGUGGGCAUAUUUUUUAUAAUGAAUGCAAUUAAAAAAAAAAAAAAUUGCCAUGCAUAUUAUGUAUCAUAAUAUGAGGAAAAACGUUUUAUGUUUACACAACGAUAUAUAAUUUUUAGCGUAUUAGACCUUUAUUUAUCUAUUUCAAUAAGAAAGUGAAAACUUAAAGACAUUUAGUUCUGUCCAAUUACAGAAACAAUAGAAAAUCUAUUGAACAGAUAAUCACGAACCGACUAAAUAAGAAUGUAAUAUUCUGUCCUGUUCUUACUGAAAUAGAUAAAAAGAGAUGCACAUAACUCAAAAUUUUUAAAUACGACUUAUUUAAAAUAUUUAAAAAAAAGUUUCGUUUUUGUAUACUGAAACGGACCAAUCAAUUUCGACCAUCAAAAAGAGUACAAUUGUACCUACUUUGAAUAAAUGAUUUUGACUUUGACUUUGACUUUGAAAUUCACACAUACAUAUUUAGGCAGCGUGCACUUUUCUACCAAUCUAGUUCAAACUUCUCGCCCUUGCUUAGGCUAUCAAUAAUUCCAAAAGUAAUAUAAUCAUCAGUCAGAAUUGGCAUUGUUUUAAACGAAUAUUAAAAAAAAAAAAAAUGUUUUAAACCACUAUGAUUUAAUCAGUAGCCGGUAAAUAGAAUAACUUUUUCAUAUGCAAUGCUGCCUUUUGUAUUUAUAUGACGUAGUAGUAUGAAACUUUCAUAAUACACUAAAUACGAAUACAAUCUUUAGCUAAUUGACUAAAGAAACAAAUGCCGGAUUUAAACUUAAAUUUAUAUCUAAAAAAAACAAUAGUGACAAAUUAUUAUUAUGGAUAUUUUUAAUUGAAACCAUUAUGACUAAAUAGGAACUAAAAUAUUUAUCGUGAACUCAGCGUCCGAUUUCUUUUAUUAGUGGGAUUAGAAUCGGUUUUUUUAGACUGUCUCUUUUGAAAUUACUUGACUUCAGUUAAAACUAUGCAUAGUUACUAUAGAAACCGAUUAUAAUCAUAUUGUUAGGCGCGCAAGGACGGUUAAACUGCAUGCGUUAUUUAUAUGGCAAUGUAUAUGAGUGUAUAUAAAUUUGUGUGUGAAUGUACAAGCAACAAUGUUAACGUUCAACUUUGUAUAAUAAAUCCGAGCGGUUAUUUGACCAGCCGAUUAUAUAACCAUGCGCCUAGCCUUACUAUAGUUAAAAUCGGUUUCUAUAGUAUCAUUACACAGUUUUAUAACAAUCGAAGUCCAGUUAUUGCAAAAAAGAAAGUGGUUCUAGAAAACCAAUGCAAAUCGGUUCUAAAAACCCAAUUUAACCGUUUUUCGAAAUAUCGGUCGUAUAUAAAACUGAGUCAAAGGCCCCUAAGAUCACUUGCGGCGAUCCAGUUUUUAAAUAAGAGUUUUGUAUUGAGACAAAAUUGAUCUCUUGUUUCAAAAUUUCAGAAAUCAGCCUUUUCAGGAAUAACUAAAAAAUCUACUGGCCGAUUUACGUAGUAACCAAAAUAAAUGACAAAGAUUUUGCAAAAUCGGUUACGAUUGGCAACCGUUUUGUUUCAUUGGCUAUUGGUGAUAAUAUUUGUGCUAGAGCAUAUUAAAACGGAUUAACCAUAUUAGUUUCAAUUAAAAAAUAGGCUCUUUUAUAAUAAAUUUGUGUGCAUCAGUUGUGUCAUCAUAAUCAUAAUAAUAUAUUAAUAAGUGGCAGUAUAAUUUAAGAGCGGACGCCAUACUGUUUGGGUUAUUAAAAUCUUAUCACACAUGAUUUAACAAAGGAAAUAUGAACAGAACCUUCCUUUUUUGGAAAUCGGUUAAAAAUGCGUGGGAAUUUUUUGAAACAUUCGUAACAUAAUAGUCUGAUUUUGUGAAAAAUACUAAUAAAUGUUGCAUUGGCAAAGUACGAUAGCAAACUUAUUUAUUAAUCGGUCCGGUAACCGAUUUUUGUGAUGGACCAAUGAACAAAUAAAUUAAUUAUUAAUAAAAUCAGUUUUGUUCCUAACUUUUAGCAUGAUAUUAUUCUAAUCAUAUUUAUUUAUACUUCGAUGGAUCAAUUAAAAUCGGCUAGUGCAAAAUCACUGAAUUUAAUAAUUUUAAAUCAUCAAUCAUCAUGUAUACAAAAAUAAUAGCAAACAAUUUAAUUUGAUUUUCCUAUUCCUACCAAGAAAACAUCUACAAUGAUUGUGUGAUGGAAGGUGUCGAGACCCGCAUCAAUGAUGAAGACGGGGCAGAGAGAAGUGAUAAAAUUUUAACAAUACAUUACAUAGUCCGCAAUACGAUACACAGUCAAAAUACAUCGUUUAAACAAUUUUAAUCGUACAAAAAAAUACAUAUAGUGCUGCACGAAAAAAAGAUAUUUUUUUUUACAAUUUUUUCUACAAAAUAUGCAUAUAGCCAGUCUUUGCGGCGUUUCAACGCCUACACGAAGUGCUUUUUUUAACAAUUUGACUAUUUUUCAACUGAAAUUUACAAUCUGUACUCUUAUAGCCAAAAUUAAUAAUCUAUCUCUAAUCUGUCUAGAAGUUAGGUACUUCGCAAUGUAGUUAAAAGUUCUAUACAAGCUGAAAUUUUGAUGGUUGUUAACAAUAAUAAGUAUAAAAUUAUUAGAAUCAAAAUUGAAAAAUUUGCAAUCGAGAAAAAUAAAACUCGAAAGAGACCUCGAACCAAUAGUAAUACCGCGUGCGUGCAGGCUAGUUUAUACCGUGUCACUACGCGCGAGAGCUUAUUUUGCUCUAAACAUUUUCACUUUAUCGGCAGCGUGUACUUACCUACUAUUUACGUUAUGUCUAGUGAAUUACCACUGUUUCUCACGCGUUCUAGUUGAUGAUAUUUUUUUUUUAUUUUUUUCCAAAAAAAAAAGCAACUGUCUAUUUAUUAAAUUUAACUCUAUGUUUUAAACAUUUUCACUUUAUCGGCAUCGUGGUUUGAAUGGAUGCACCUAUCCUGCUACAUACUAUUUUCGUUAUGUCUAGUGAAUUACUACUGUUUCUCACGUGUUCGAAUUGAUUUUUAAUUUUUUGAAAAAGAAAAAAACCAUGUUUCGAUAGUACUACCGAAAGCAAAUCGUUGGGAAAACAACCAUUAAAAUUUCAGCUUGUAUAAUUUCUUUGACAAAUAACAAUUGCGCAGCAACAUAUUGGAAACAUUCCAGAUAAAUACCUAUUAUUAAUUUUGGUCGUUUAUUUAACACUUUUGAAAUUUUCAACAAUGAAAAUUUAAAGGCAACAGAGAAUUUUGUUGCAAGUAGUUAAUGUCAAAUUAGUUGCAAAAAAAGUUAUUACGUCCAAUUAAAAAUCGUCAAGUUUAGAUAUUUUAUGUUGGCAAUUUUACAUACUGUGAUUCGUAUUAAACGGAUGCUAUGAGCAAUGCAAGAUGCAAAGUGCGUACGCCAUCUUGAAUAUUUGCUGUGUCAUAACUUAUAUUGACUAGCAAUUUUAAGGAACUCAUCGCUUCAUAAUCAAAGUAGGGAUUGUAAAUUUCAGUUUUCACAAUGAUGAUUAUUAACAACUGUACAAUUUAUUUUUUCAUAUUUUUGAAAAAAAAAAAACAAACAAAAUCAAGAAAUUCAUCGAGACAAAUAUAUACAGGUAGAGUUUUGAAAAGGGAUUUCUAUGGCAGCUUUCAUAACCAUUAUAUGAAGAUUUCUUAGAAAUCCACCUAGAUAUUUGGAUACAUUUCAAAAACUCACACAUGACAGGAACAAUUCAAUCAGUGUGUAAAUACAAUAUGUAUGUAUGUAUGUAUGUGUUUAUAUAGAAAACUAUAUGAUUUUGAUGACAGUGACUUUGUGUUGUAUACAGGGCUUAAACUUAAUUGAGAAAACUAUACCUAUGUAAACACUCAUACCUAUGUGACGUUUCGUCUCAACGACAGAGACAACGCUCUACGAAACCGUUAUCUCUUUCUAAAGUUCAGUACAGUGUUGUACAGAGCCUUUUCACUUCAUAAAAGCUGAGUCAAUUUUUUACUCCUGCAUAUUUAUUUAGCUUUGAGUUUUCUUGUGUUCUUCUACAAUAUAAAGAAGCGUUGCUUUUCUAUCCUUUGUUAAAACUAUCAAGUUAAAACUAUAACCUAUAUUUUUUUGAUUUUUUCUUACACAAUUAUGUGACAAAAUUUAAUUUAAUGGUCAUUUCAUUUAUAAUAUAGACCUAUAAAUUUAAAGCAUAAUUUAGACCUACGAUAUGCUCCUUUUUUUGAAUUGUCAAAAAAUGUUUAGAUGUCAACUUUUUGGCUGAUCUCUAUAGAACAUACUUUAACUUUGCUCAGACUUAAUUUUCAGUUAAGGGGCAAGCGACGGGUCUGCCCGCGAAAUCAAAUUUAAUUUGGUUUUUCGCAAUUUGUAAACUAAUACGACAAAGUAGGCUUAUGGCAUUCUAGUUGCGACAGUGGCAGUUUCAUUUCCAGGUGUUUAUAUAAAAAUCUUUACUUGAUAAGGCCCAGUUUAAGAAAUUAGCUCUAGUAUCGACUAAAUUGUGAGUUACAGUCGAUACUAGAGCUAAUUUCUUAAACUGGACCCUUUCAAGUAAAGAUUUUUACAUAAAUAGGUGGGGAUAAUACUGUUACUGUCGCAAAUAGAAUGUCAUAAUCCCCCUUAAACAAUAUAAGCUGUCUUGUUUUAAGUUUGAGUAAAAUCAAAGUGUGUUCUAUAAAGACUUAAUAAGAAAGUGAUAAUAUACACACUGAUUGUAAAGCUCUGUCUUUUGUUUAGAUUUAUUUCGUAUUUUUUAUGAGUUACAUGCAUUUCAUUGCAAAAAAAAACAUUGGUUAUAAGUUCAACGUAAAAUUUUCACAAAAAUCAUGGAACUUUAAGUAUAAUGCAUGUUUUUGGUCGAAUCUGUAUGGGUAAGUCAGCUGUAAAGUAUACAAUGAUUACUUACUAUGCUGACUCUUGGCCACCAACACUGAAAACUGUACUGCAAUUAAUAUGGUAUAAUGUGGUAUUAUAAUCGAAAUAAAACUAUUUAUAAUUUCAUUUCGGACCUGCGAUUUUUGCAAAAAUACACUAUGAAUUUUAACUUCCCAGAAAGAACCCAGCUUUCGAAAAUCAUUAUAAUGCAUGAUGAUAUAACUAAACGUAAAUUCUUUACCACUUAAUUAAAAAUUUAACAAACCUUCAAAAUUCCUAUCUAGUUUUUUUUAUAUCUGUGAUCUAUGGUAAUGCUGUCAAAAAAAAAAUACGAAAUAAACCCUUGUCUAUGACUCGAUCGCGCAGUGAGUGUUGCCACUUUAUAACCUUAAA